UAGUGGCAGAUAAUCUGGGACCAAAAUGAGUAUAAACUCACAGGUUCACAUUGUGUUCACUCUGUGCUGUUCACCACAGCAUCCAGUCUUGCUACUAAAGUAGAUUUGGAUGCUAUGAUGGGCAGGUUGGAAAGUAUUUCAUCUCAAUCUUUUCCCCAGAGAUGUUCUUUUCAUAAAUUAAUGGCUGAAAGGAGAAAUUAAUUCAUAGAUUAAUGGGUGAAAGGCUGAAAAUGCUUUGAGCAAACCAGACUCAGGCUUACUUGGCCUGUGAAAGAAUUGAGAACAGCUGGGGCACUGGGUCUUCUGCCUGCUCCUAUAAAUUCUUUCUGUGUGUUUACUGCUGAUGGUUCAGGCUUCAGGAGCUACCUUCAAAAUAAUUACUUUUGGGCAUUGUAUGGAAAGAAAAAGAAGGAAAAAAAAUAAAAGAGGAAGAGUUAGCGCUGCUCUACUGGUGAUAUUUCCUUGAAUGCAAAUGUCCCUUUCCUUCUUAACUGCCCUCUCUUCUUUUUGGCCCAGUUGGUGUUACGUCAACUCUCCCGUAUGCUGCUCAUCUCUACAGACAGAAACUUGUGUUUUACUAGCAGCUUCUGGUUGUUGCUGCCUGCAGGAUUUCUCUCUGAUCCACCCAAGGGUCUGGAGGGCAUCAUAGUUGCACAGUGGGGCUUUAUCACCUGUGAUCAGCCCUUACAGUCCUGGCAGUCAGGCUAUGCUGAUGGUGCUGCAUGGAUUUGCUCUUUAUGAAGCUGAACAUUGGUGACAAGGAUUGUAUGAUUCAAAUGACUUUUCCAAACUCAUGGGCAUUUUCAGAAAUUUCUCAGAACUGUAGAAUAGCAACAUUUUUCAAUACCCCUAUUAAAUUGCAAGGACAAAGUUUUCUUCUGACUCCUCGUUGGACAGAUAAUACCAGCGUUAAAUUUCUGUAUUUCCUCAGGUUGUAGAAAAUCCAGAGAAGUCCUAGUCAUUGAUAUAGUGGCUCCCUUAAGAUAUGCUGAAGCAUCAAGGCAGAAGACUAAUUCCAGGUCUCCAGAAGCAUUAGUUUCACCACAUCUGGUAUCUUCCUAUUGGUAGCAAUGAUCCUAUGCAAGAUAUCAGAAGUAUCACCAUUAGUGAAGGUUUAACUGUAGAGCUUUCAAGUCAACCUUCCUGCUGAAUUGAAAGGAAGAACUAAUUUGUCAAGGCACUAGUAGGCUUUAAUGGCUAUGAUCAGACUCAGCUGCUGCUGCUCUGCUCCUGUCCCAGGGACCCCCUCAUUUCAGCUGAGCAUAGGGCCAUCAGUUCAGCUCCAGUUGCAUUACAGCCAUAUCUGUGUCCAGCUGGGGUCCCCACUGAUCCAGAUAACAAGCUGAGGUCUAACUGCACAGCUUGACACAGCCCUACCUAGUAAUUGCUGAGCUGCAGCUGACAGUGGCUUUCCUCACCAAGCUAGAGCCUUACGCUGGGUUGCUGACUUGUGUUUCUGGCUUGAACUUGGUGUUGCCCCAUUGCUAUGGACUUGAAUGAUCACCUGGAGCCUUGGCUGUCUUUGGCUGUCAUCCACCACCUCACUUGGGAAGUUGUAGGAUGCGGCCCUUCCUGAUGAGACCCUUGCCCUGCAGCCUGCAUUAUUAUGCUGAGUUCCUGGCUCCCUGUCGCUUAGGGAGCACUUGGCCCUUGUUGUGCACAGAUGUAUUUAAUGUGGGAAUAAUACAGCUUCACCCCUUUUCCUCCAGUUCCACUAAGCAAUUGUUAUAGAGUUGUUUCUUGCUGCAGAUUAGGUUCUUGAACCUGUAUGUUGAGCAUAAGUCAGCGUAUUUGCCACAGGACAAAACCUUGUUGCUCCAGCUCCACAAAAAUGACAACUUCCUCCAGUACAAAGGCAGUCUAUGGAUCAUAACUUUUCUGAUCAUAACUUACCCCGUGGGUGUCCCACCUUUUGGCUUGCCUGGGCUGCACUGACUGAAGAGGAAUUGUCUUGGGCUGCACGUAAAAUAUAUAAUUAAUGUGUAUAAGUAACAAAACUUAUUAUAUAUAUUUAUUUAUUAAAAUGUAAAAACCAGCAACAAAAACAUGAAACAAGUGGGAUAUUUGACCUUCUUUUUGUGAAAUUAAAACAUCAGUGUCUGGUUCAAUGGAAGUGGUUGCGAUUCUUAGUGAGCUCUUGAGGUGUUCAUCAGAGGUUUUUGCUGAAAUAUUGCUCUUUCUGUACUUCAUCCUUGAGAACAGUUAUUUACAAAUGUACAUACUGCCAAAGAGUGAUGAUAUGAAUAAGGUGUGGUUGUGAAGUGAGGGAUAUUUCUCUCUGUUAAGAUUGGUCUUAUAAAAGUUUAGAGAGACACGAUCGAGAUUUUCUUUGUGUUGAACGUCUGAUUGCAACUCAUAUAUUCCAUUUGAAAAUUUGCAGGUAAUGUAUAUACGUUGAUUGACAAUGGAGUUGCAAAUAUACAAAAAAAAAGUUGAUUUCUUUGGGAAAUUUGGAAACCUACUCUCAAAUUCUUUUAUCAGAAUUAAAAGCAAGGCUGUGUAUUUUCUGCAGUUCACAGGACUGUAUUUAG